GCCGCAGUAACUCAGGGGUAGAGUAAUUCAUUGGUAAUGAAUAAGCCGGCGGUUCGAUUCCGCCCUGUGGCACCA
rnacentral:tRNA from 3 species